rnacentral:rRNA from 1 species
GUUUGAUCCUGGCUCAGAAUGAACGCUGGCGGCAGGCCUAGCAUAUGCAAGUCGAACGGUGUUAUAUUGUAGCUUGCUAUGGUAUAACUUAGUGGCAGACGGGUGAGUAAUAUAUAGGAAUCUACCUAUUAGUACGGAAUAAUUGUUGGAAACGGCAACUAAUACCGUAUACGCCCUACGGGGGAAAAAUUUAUUGCUAUUAGAUGAGCCUAUAUUAGAUUAGCUAGUUGUUGAAGUAAUAGCCUACCAAGGCAAUGAUCUAUAGCUCAUCUGAGAGGAUGAUCAGCCACACUGGAACUGAGAUACGGUCCAGGCUCCUACGGGAGGCAGCAGUGGGGAAUAUUGGACAAUGGGCGAAAGCCUGAUCCAGCCAUGCCGCAUGAGUGAAGAAGGACUUUGGGUUGUAAAGCUCUUUUAGUGAGGAAGAUAAUGACGGUACUCACAGAAGAAGUCCUGGCUAACUCCGUGCCAGCAGCCGCGGUAAUACGGAGAGGGCUAGCGUUAUUCGGAAUUAUUGGGCGUAAAGGGCGCGUAGGCUGGUUAGUAAGUUAAAAGUGAAAUCCCGAAGCUUAGCCUUGGAACUGCUUUUAAAACUGCUAACCUAGAGAUUGAAAGAGGAUAGAGGAAUUCCUAGUGUAGAGGUGAAAUUCGUGAAUAUUAGGAGGAACACCAGUGGCGAAGGCGUCUAUCUGGUUCAAAUCUGACGCUGAGGCGCGAAGGCGUGGGGAGCAAACAGGAUUAGAUACCCUGGUAGUCCACGCUGUAAACGAUGAAUGUUGAAUAUAGGAAGUUUACUUUCUGUAUUACAGAUAAAACUCAAAGGAAUUGACGGGGACCCGCACAAGUGGUGGAGCAUGUGGUUUAAUUCAAUGCAACGCGAAAAACCUUACCACUCCUUGACAUGGAAAUUAUACCUAUUCGAAGGAAUAGGGUCGGUUCGGCCGGAUUUUACACAGGUGUUGCAUGGCUGUCGUCAGCUCGUGUCGUGAGAUGUUGGGUUAAGUCCCGCAACGAGCGCAACCCUCAUCCUUAGUUACCAUUAGGUAAUGCUGGGGACUUUAAGGAAACUGCCCAGUUAUAAACUGGAGAAAGGUGGGGAUGAUGUCAAGUCAUCAUGGCCCUUAUGGAGUGGGCUACACACGUGCUACAAUGGUGGCUACAAUGGGCUGCAAGUCGCGAGGC